UCCGAGAAACGAUCAGGACCGUCUAAUUAAUCAGACGUCCCUGAUUUGAUCAAGUGAUAAAGCAUCUGGGCCAUUGGAUUCGACAAACGGCUGUAAUGGGAGACGCAUGGUAAGCGCGCGUGCACUGGAACCAACUGGGUAUAAAUACCCAAAUUCUUCACAUAAUCCUCAUUUACUAUUUUUCCUUCUCUCUCUUCACUUGCUCUCUCUCUCUCUCUAGUCUCUCUUUUCUCCCACCUUGUUCAUCAUGUUCAUCCUCCUGGAUGAGUUUUCCGGCGGCGGUCACCGUCCGACCAAACUUUGGUGGCGGCGCCGCGGUACCGGCCGCCAUCUACUUCUAUCGGAAUGCCAAAAAAAUCCAAAAAUUAACCCAAAAUCCCUAUUUUUAAGUUUUAAACACCAAUCAAACAAUAAAAUAUCAAACAAACCUUAAAUCCGAAAAUUCCCAAAAUAGAAAACCUAGAUCUUUACCUAAUCAUGCAUAGAAAAUCAACAAAAAUACAUGCAAAAGAAAGGCUUUGCUCUAUAUUGUGGAGGCAGGAGGUGAUUUAAGAUUCUGAGUUUUCAUGUGUUUUUUGUAUCUCAAUUUUUUAUUUUUUUUUAUAUUCUGUGUGGAUUCAUAUUAUGUUAUAAAGAAAAAAUUAUGAUAAAUAUUUUUUUUUUGAAUUGUUUAUAUCUCCUUGUGUGUUUGAUUUAUGUUAACAAUACUUUAUAAAGUUCUAAAUUAAGACCUUC